UCUCACUUGGCAUGUUUCAUGGUGUUUUCUUGGCAGCCUCUGUUGUUUUGAGACUCUGGUUUUGGACACAGCAGUGUGCUGCCGGAAAACUCCUGAUCCCUUAUCCAUAUAGGAUGUGUGUCAACAAAAGCACAUACAGAUCCUCGACCGUGGGUUUAAACUGUGGAGGAACUACACAGAA